AGCCUUCUGAGUCCUCGCAAUGAUUUCGUCGGAUAUCAACCCUUCAGGGUUGAUCAGACUUCCGAGAUAAGUGAAGCU
rfam:Schistosoma mattheei strain Denwood, Zambia genome assembly, scaffold: SMTD_scaffold0004974